rnacentral:rRNA from 1 species
UACGGAGGGUGCGAGCGUUGUCCGGAAUCACUGGGCGUAAAGGGUGCGUAGGCGGGUCUUUAAGUCAGGGGUGAAAGCCCCGGGCUUAACCUGGGAACUGCGUUUGAUACGGAUGGGCUAGAGUUCGGGAGAGGAGAGUGGAAUUCCCAGUGUAGAGGUGAAAUUCGUAGAUAUUGGGAAGAACACCGGUGGCGAAGGCGGCUCUCUGGACCGAGACUGACGCUGAGGCGCGAAAGCGUGGGGAGCAAACAGG